rnacentral:rRNA from 1 species
UACGAAGGGGGCUAGCGUUGCUCGGAAUCACUGGGCGUAAAGGGUGCGUAGGCGGGUUUUUAAGUCAGGGGUGAAAUCCUGGAGCUCAACUCCAGAACUGCCUUUGAUACUGAAGAUCUUGAGUCCGGGAGAGGUGAGUGGAACUGCGAGUGUAGAGGUGAAAUUCGUAGAUAUUCGCAAGAACACCGGUGGCGAAGGCGGCUCACUGGCCCGGUACUGACGCUGAGGUGCGAAAGCGUGGGGAGCAAACAGG